AAUGUCGGGUUCAGGUGUAGGAACGCUUUGAAUUAUGUGUUUUUAUGCUUGUGUGUUUGUGUUUGUGCUGAGUUAUAUUUGUGAAUAGGUGGUGCACCUUCGGAUUGUGCUUAGCUCACAUUCUUGGUCCUCGGUGAAGGCAAGUAAAUGUAGCGAUGUGGUCUACAUGCUUUAACUUUGUUGUUUGAAUUGCCUUCAUUUAAUUUGAGUACCUCACACUAGCAAGAUAAAUCUUAAUUUGUCUUUAUACUGAAGUAUCUUAUUUCACUUGAGGCUUUACUUUUAAAGUUAUAAAUUUUGAGGUAUAUGAAGAUC
rnacentral:lncRNA from 1 species